rnacentral:rRNA from 1 species
AUUACUGAGUGAGGGCUCACGCCCGACCUCCAACCCUUUGUGAACACAUCUUGUUGCUUCGGGGGCGACCCUGCCGGCACUACGUCGCCGGGCGCCCCCGAAGGUCUCCAAACACUGCAUCUUUGCGUCGGAGUUUAAAACAAAUUAAACAAAACUUUCAACAACGGAUCUCUUGGUUCUGGCAUCGAUGAAGAACGCAGCGAAAUGCGAUAAGUAAUGUGAAUUGCAGAAUUCAGUGAAUCAUCGAAUCUUUGAACGCACAUUGCGCCCUUUGGUAUUCCGAAGGGCAUGCCUGUUCGAGCGUCAUUUCACCACUCAAGCCUGGCUUGGUAUUGGGCGUCGCGGCUCCGCGCGCCUUAAAGUCUCCGGCUGAGCCAUUCGUCUCUAAGCGUUGUGGAUUUUCUAAUUCGCUUCGGAGUGCGGGUGGCCGCGGCCGUUAAAUCUUUAUUCAAAGGUUGACCUCGGAUCAGGUAGGGAUACCCGCUGAA